rnacentral:lncRNA from 1 species
CUACAACAGUCUGUUCAAUUUAAUGUUCAUGAGUUGAAUAAAAAUAUAUUUUUGGAAUUUGGGUAAGAAGUAGUAUGAUUGGUUAAAGUAUGAUUUUUUAUCUUCAUUUGUCAGUACAGCUUGUAUUUCAGGUAAUUAUUAGCAACCUUUAAAGAACUGUAAACAGGAGUUUAACAUCUUGCAUCAAUACAUAGUUUAGUGUAUCACCAUUAGUUAGUUCCAAGAUAUUUUUAUUCCAUUUUUAUUUAUUUUCUAAACCAUCUCUAAAGGGACUCUAACUUCCUCAAUAAAGAUCUAGAAUAGAGAAAGAGAUGUUCAUAGUUUGUCACAGAAAAAAAAAAGAAAUAAAAUAUGCCACUUACAUUCUUAUGUAUGCCUGUGAAUUCUAAAUGCAGUUGAUGGCUUGCAUAUAGUGGGUAUAAUUCAUGAAUAUUUCAUAAAAAUAGAAAAGGGACCAGAGAAAAAGAUUUUUAAGAUAUAUAGUGCAAAAAUUCUCUCAAUUGUCCUGAAGCCACUGACAAAUUUCUUUUUCAAAAGUGCAGGUCUCUUUUAAGAGAGACUUUAUAAUAGAGUUCUUAGUUCCAUGAAAUGUGAGACUCACAUAAAUACAUGAUUCCUUAAGAAAAGGAACUGAAUAGAACCACUUAUAAAUCUCCUUUUUGUGGCUUUUUUACACUAAAUGGCUCCCUCCACUUAGCCCUAGAAAAUGUUCUUAUAUUAAUUGUUUGGAAGGUCCAUUGUUUAGAGCACGUGCUUCUGGGAUGCAGGGAUGCUGAACAGGUGCUUAGCUUCCCUGCCGAGGAGAUCAGCCUUCUUCACAUACAGUGUGUGUUUCAAGGACAUGUGGUAAUUUGGGCUCAUGAUAAAUAACCACACUGAUUAGGUUGGCUGGUCAAGAUUGGUCAAUUAAAAUGGUUUUCAAAAAAGAAGGAAAAAACCGAGAGCAGGAGAAAAGCAAUGUAUAUAAAUAUUGUAUGUGGCAUUUGAAAAAAGGAAUGAUCCCUAGGAUUCAGAAAUAAAAGGAAAAUGUAAAUGAAAAUUCUAUCUUUUUUUUUAGCUAUACAGAUGUCUUAGCAAUUUAUAUUUGAAAAAGUUAGAACUGCAUGAACCAUUAUCUUGGGGUCUUUCAGUACAGCUAUGAAUAACAUAAAGAAUAUUUAGGCCAUUGUCAGGGAUGUUGGAUUUAAGCCUUGUUCUGACACUGUUUGAUCAUUUAUCCCUUUAGUUAUGCUCACAUAUUCUCAAAAUGAUGUUCAACAGAUUGAGCUACCACUAACUAGGAGUGUGACCUUGAAGAAGCUAUUUAAACUCUUUGUGUUUUACAUCAUGAAGACAUGGACCAACAAUGAAGUGGGACUAAUGAUUAACCUACACUUUGACUCACUUGUACAGGGUGAAUAAUUAUGCCAUCCCUUCUAACUCAAAGGGUUAUUAAAAUGAUAUAGCUAAUUCAGAGCACUGUAAACACUGUACAGUGGGUGCACAUAACAGGUGCCAUAGUUUUAUAAAUCCAACUGAUUGGUGGUAUUUAUUAGUUAUAUAUAGAUAACUACAGAGAAAAAAAUAGUUAAUGCUAAAAAAUAGAGAGUAUAUAAUUUUCAUAGAAUAAUUAUACAGUCUACUCUCCCUAGCCAAUUGAUUUCCAUAGAAACACAUAAAAUAUUAUUGAUUUAAGAGAUAGCACUUUUGCUUUUAAAGCAUCUAGAUUUAUUUAUAAAUUUUGCCAGCCAAUUUGCCAAGCCUGAAAGUUGCCACCCACUUUUCUACCCCUGGGAGACCGUACAUGGUACAGAUAUUAUAUUCUAGCUCUAGUGCAAUCAGACAUCUGGAUUGAGAAUUUCAAAUUUCACACAUUAUAUUGUAUCAUUUGUCUGCUGAUAAUAAGAAAACUGCCACCUUUAUAAGAAGAUUGUGUAAUGAUAAUAGCAAGUAUUUUCAGAGGACUUACUAUUUGCUGUGCAUGCUUUUAAAUAUUUUUGGUAUACAUUAAUUUCAUUAUUUUAAAGAAGAGUUUUCCAGCAUAAUAUUAGUCUCAUUUGAGUAAUGUGGAAAUAGAAGCUUAAAGGAGUUCAGUUUCCGAAGUCACACAUUAAUAUGUGCUAGGACCAGGACUUGAUUUAGAAACUCUCCAACAUGAAACCUGCAUUUUAAAUUAAUGGGCUCCAUAAUUAUUUGAUGGUGAAUUAUUUAUGGAAUUGAGCUGCUUACGUUUUAGAAAAAAAUUUAGAUAAUUCUUUAGAAACAGUGUAUUUGAAUAACUUUAUAGGAAUACUGCAGAGCAUCACAGUUAAAUGUACUAUUUUCAUAACCCACACAUAGAAGGGCCUUAGUUUUGAAAAUCUAAACUUGGACCAGGUCAAGUUUACCUCCAUAGAAGCUGAAAAUACAGAUUUUGUUUGUAAACAGAAUUAAUUAGCAAUUUUCAGAGGGAUGCCAAAAUGGUACUUUUUCCUUUGUUCUCAUCAAAUAGGUGCUAAUAGUUGCUGUUAACACAAAACUGAUUGCCACCUAGGGUGGGGAGUGCAAGUUGCCACGUCCAGUGACCACAUUGGCCCAUCUGUCGAGAAUCCCUGCUCAGGAACAAUGCAAGAACUGACAUCCAAUUUGGGUUCUGGCCAGUGGUCAGCUAACAAGCUGGGACACACUUGGAAUAAGAAAUGCGUUGAAGUCAGAAAUGCUCUGCUGUCCAUUAACUGGCAGCGCUCAUGUGUGGGCAGAGCCAAGACCAGGUGCCAGUUUGCAGAGCAAAAGGAUCUGCCUGAGUGCCACCUGUCAAUGGCAUAUGACAGGAGUCACAGCAGGUGUGCUUCUUCCAUCAAAGUGUGGCAAGUUAGAGUUCAGCUAGACUAGGGUUGGGACCAGGGUGACAUUUCACAUCUCAGCCCAAAUAGGAGGACAAGCCCAUGGCUUACCAGAAGCUAGUCAUCUUGUCACAACAUAUCCUAAGUGGAUAUACUGGACAUUUAUCAUUUGAGAUCGCUCUCUCACAGUUAAGUUCAUAGCUUUUUUUUUUUUUUAAACCACUGUAGCAAUGCCAGAUCCUUAACCCAUUGUGCCACAGUGGGAACUCUACUAAUUCUUACCUUGACUAAAGACUGUAUUGUGUAUUGUGUUGACUGUAUCAACACAAAUACUUGCCUUUAUAAAACACUUUGUCGUUAGAAUCACUCGGAUGAAUUAAUCACCCCACAGGUUUUUCUUAAGAUACAUUUCUGGUUGGUUUUUCCUCUGUUGCUAUUCUUAAUAAAUUGACUUGUAAUGUGGGGCUACAAAGUAAGCUAGAAUUUAGGAGAUCAACAUUCUUAUCCUGGCUCUGCCAUAAUUUGUCAUGGUAUUUUAAACAAUUUAUGCUACAUGUCUGAGUACCACAGUCCACAUCUGCAAAAUGUGUAGGUUGCAUUGGACGGCUUCUGUAGUACCUUUAUGUUCUGAAAUGGUAUGAAUCUUUGAAUGGCAACAAGGGAGAGUGAUUUUAAAAGAAUAACAAUGCAUUUUGUAUAGGAAAAAAACCCUUAAUUUAUUCCAUUAUUACAUUAUUCCAGUAUUACACAUGGGAAAAGUAAGGCAAAUGAAGUUAGGUAUGCCAGAGUCACUCAGUAAAGGAUCUAGGAUUGCUAAACUCCAAAGUCUACACUCUUGACCACUACCUUGAGGUGCUGGAUGGGAUCAACUUUUUUUCUAUUUUCCACUUGGAAUUGGAGAUUAGGAAAAUCACAGCUUAGCAAAUGCUUGCCUAGAAGUGUUACUUUCAUAAGACAGCUGCCAGAUACAUCUGUUUAGUAAAGGACAUAAUAAAGAUUUUAUAAGCUUAAUCAUAAUGGUACUUACAAACAAUGUAUAAAUCCAUUAUAGCAUAUCAAAUAAAUAAGGUUUCAUCUUUCAAGAGAGUAUUUUUUAAUAUUUUCAUAAUAUCUGAUGACGGACACUUAUGAAUUGGAAGGCUGGCCAGAGUUCCUGGUUUUAUAUUUCUUACAAACAUAUUUUUUAUUAUUAUUUUUAUUUCUUAUAAUAGUCCCUCUGGGGAAGUUGCUGCUUGACCCAGAUAUUCAAAUAUGAAGUG